GGGAAAAAGUGAAGCUGCCAGCAUGAUCUAGCUUUGGCUAAAGAUGUAUAUAAUCACGUAUAUAUGUAUCAGUUCUAUUAACCCUGGCUAGGUCAUGCUCUGACAGCUUCACUCCUUCCU